GAUGAACGCUGGCGGCGUGCCUAAUACAUGCAAGUCGAGCGAACGGACGAGAAGCUUGCUUCUCUGAUGUUAGCGGCGGACGGGUGAGUAACACGUGGAUAACCUACCUAUAAGACUUGGAUAACUUCGGGAAACCGGAGCUAAUACCGGAACAUAUUUUGAACCGCAUGGUUCAAAAGUGAAAGACGGUCUUGCUGUCACUUAUAGAUGGAUCCGCGCUGCAUUAGCUAGUUGGUAAGGUAACGGCUUACCAAGGCAACGAUGCAUAGCCGACCUGAGAGAGUGAUCGGCCACACGAGAGCGGAGACACGGUCCAUAGGCCUACGGGAGGCAGCAGUAGGGAAUCUGCCGCAAUGGGCGAAAGCCCGACGGAGCAACGCCGCGUGAGUGACGGAGGUCUUCGGUGCGUGAUACUCUGUUAUUAGGGAAGAACAUAUGUGUAAGUAACUGUACACAUCUUGACGGUACCUAAACAGAAAGCCACGGCUAACUACGUG
rnacentral:rRNA from 1 species